AUACAGAGGGUGCGAGCGUUAAUCGGAAUUACUGGGCGUAAAGCGUGCGUAGGCGGUUAAUUAAGUCAGAUGUGAAAGCCCUGGGCUCAACCUGGGAAUUGCAUUUGAUACUGGUUGACUUGAGUAUGGGAGAGGGAAGUGGAAUUUCCGGUGUAGCGGUGAAAUGCGUAGAUAUCGGAAGGAACACCAGUGGCGAAGGCGACUUCCUGGACCAUUACUGACGCUGAGGCACGAAAGCGUGGGGAGCAAACAGGAUUAGAUACCCUAGUAGUCC
rnacentral:rRNA from 1 species